rnacentral:rRNA from 1 species
UCCAGACUCCUACGGGAGGCAGCAGUGGGGAAUAUUGCACAAUGGGGGAAACCCUGAUGCAGCGACGCCGCGUGAGCGAUGAAGUAUUUCGGUAUGUAAAGCUCUAUCAGCAGGGAAGAAAAUGACGGUACCUGACUAAGAAGCCCCGGCUAACUACGUGCCAGCAGCCGCGGUAGUACGUAGGGGGCAAGCGUUAUCCGGAUUUACUGGGUGUAAAGGGAGCGUAGACGGCUUGGCAAGCCAGAUGUGAAAGCCCGGGGCCCAACCCCGGGACUGCUCUUGGAACUGCGCGGCUGGAGUGCAAGAGGGGCAGGCGGAAUUCCUGGUGUAGCGGUGAAAUGCGUAGAUAUCAGGAGGAACCCCGGUGGCGAAGGCGGCCUGCUGGACUGCGACUGACGUUGAGGCCCGAAAGCGUGGGGAGCAAACAGGAUUAGAUACCCGAGUAAU